rnacentral:rRNA from 1 species
UUUAUUAGAUAAAAAGCCAGUUCAUGCUUUUACAGUAUGAAAAUUGGUGAUUUAUAAUAACUUAGCAAAUCGCAAAGUGAAAACAGGCGAUAAAUCAUUCAAGUUUCUGACCUAUCAGCUUUCGACGGUAUGGUAUUGGCUUACCGUGGCAGUGACGGUUAACGGGGGAUUAGGGUUCGAUUCCGGAGAGGGAGCCUGAGAAACGGCUACCACAUCUAAGGAAGGCAGCAGGCGCGCAAAUUACCCAAUUCUAACAGUUUGAGAGAGGUAGUAACAAGAAAUAACAAUACAAGGCAGUUAAAAUGCUUUGUAAUUGGAAUGAUAGAAAUUUAAACCCUUUUUAAAGUAUCAAUUGGAGGGCAAGUCUGGUGCCAGCAGCCGCGGUAAUUCCAGCUCCAAUAGCGUAUAUUAAAAUUGUUGCAGUUAAAAAGCUCGUAGUUGAAGUUCUGCUGAAAGUAACCGGUCUGCUUUUAAUAAAAGUGGUAUCUUGGUAUGUAUUUAGCAAUGAUGUCCUUUGAAGUGUUUUUUACUUUAUUGUAAUAAAGCAUAUUCAGGACUUUUACUUUGAGAAAAUUAGAGUGUUUCUAGCAGGCUAACGCUUUGAAUACUGCAGCAUGGAAAUAA